rnacentral:rRNA from 1 species
AUUGAACGCUGGCGGAAUGCUUUACACAUGCAAGUCGAACGGCAGCACGGGAGCUUGCUCCUGGUGGCGAGUGGCGAACGGGUGAGUAACAUAUCGGAACGUACCCAGUAAUGGGGAGUAACUAGUCGAAAGAUUAGCUAAUACCGCAUACGCCCUGAGGGGUAAAGGACGGGGAUCGGUAAGACCUCGCGUUAUUGGAGCGGCCGAUAUCUGAUUAGCUAGUUGGUGGGGAUAAAGGCCAUACCAAGGCGACGAUCAGUAGCUGGUCUGAGAGGACGACCAGCCACACUGGAACCUGAGACACGGUCCAGACUCCUACGGGAGGCAGCAGUGGGG